rnacentral:rRNA from 1 species
AGUGAACGCUGGCGGUAGGCCUAACACAUGCAAGUCGAACGGCAGCACAGUACUAUCUUGCUCUUACCGGUUGCGAGACGCGUACGUGAGAGGAGUACAUCGUAAUCUACUUUUUCGUGGGGGAUAACGUAGGGAAACUUACGCUAAUACAGCAUCCGCCCUACGGUGGAAAGGAGUGGAUCUUCGGACCUUUCGCGAUUGAAUUAGCCGAUGUCGGAUUAGCUAGUUGGCGGGGUAAAGACCAACCAAGGCGACGAUCCGUAGCUGGACUGGGAGGAUGGUCAGCCACACUGGAACUGAGACAGGGUCAAGGCGACUACGGGAGGCAGCAGUGGGGAAUAUUGGACAAUGGGGGCAAGUCUGAUCCAGCCAUAGCGAGUGGGUGACGAAAGCGUUGGGGUUGUAAAGCCGUUUUUUGGGGAAAGAAAAGCAGUAGGUUAAUACCAAGCUGUUGUGACGGUACCGAAAGAAUAAGCACCGGCUAACUUCGUG